rnacentral:sRNA from 1 species
UAUUUCUCCGUACGGGGAAGGAUGAGAAGCUUCGACUAAGGUUCGAUUCGAGCACUGCGAGAAAGCGUUGCCGCAGGCAACGACCCGAAGGGUGAGGAGCGGAGCGACGAAUAAUCCUUCCCCCACCACCA